AGACAGUGCCCUGUGCUGCAUCACCCCCGCUGACCUGCUGGAAGUAUUUAAGUCACUCACAGGGGAGUAUCCAAAGUAUUGAAAAAGCAAGAGUUCCAGAAAAACAUCUAUUUCUGCUUCAUUGACUAUGCCAAAGCCUUUGACUGUGUGGAUCACAAUAAACUGUGGAAAAUUCUCAAAGAGAUGGGAAUACCAGACCACCUGACCUGCCUCUUGAGAAACCUGUAUGCAGGUCAGGAAGCAACAGUUAGAACUGGACAUGGAACAACAGACUGGUUCCAAAUAGGAAAAGGAGUACGUCAAGGCUGUCUAUAGUCACCCUGCUUACUUAACUUAUAUGCAGAGUA
ensembl:lncRNA